GAAUCCAGCAGAAGAAUCUUCAGUGAAUUUGUUAGUGUAGAGUUGGCACUAGAAGAAACAUUGCAAAACGAAUAGAAUUUUCCCACUGGCUGUUUUGAAUGAAGAUAAUUGCUAAAAUAGCACAACAAAAUAUCUCUGCUGUAUAUUUCACUAACUUUGCAAUUUAAGCCUAGUUCAGUUAUGACCUCACAGGCCCCUUUCUUGGAUUGUCAGAGUAUAAUGUAUGUCUGUUCAGACUUGUCAGUCCAAAGUCUUGCUAAUAAUGCUUGAGGCAAAAUCUUCGGUUGGAAAGACACUCUACUCCCUCAAAUGGCUACAAUGAAGUUUGUUUCAUAAUGGCCAGGAAGUGGUGCAAAGAUACACACACACACACACACACACACACACACACACAAAAUGAACAAUUGCAGAAUACACAUUGGUACAAUGCAGCUUUUUUUGUCAAAUACAGAGUCACAUAACCACUUUCUGUGAUUUCAGUCUUGCCAGUUAAGGCGGGCGGGGGGGGGGGGGGGAGGGAGAUCGAUCCACAUGUCUUAAUGUUUGUUUGUUUCUUCCAUCCCUUUUGUCUUGAAAUGUUCCAGGGACACUAUUUCUCUCUCCAGCUGCAAUUGUUAGAGGAACUGGGAUGGAAAUGUUAGCUGUGAAAAAUACCAGAAAACGUGCAUGCACACUGGGUCUGUAACUGAAUAGAAGGCGGCUACAAUUUUGAGAACAAAAUUCGCUUCAUGUAAGUUUACGCAUUUAUUUGCUUUUACACUUAAAUAUCCUCUUUAAAUACAGCAUUAUCACAAUGAAAAGAACAUAAAGGCAAAACAAAAUGUAAAGGACCUGACAAGCUUUGGAUUCACAUUGAAAAUGCCACCUGUGUAUUUCCUGCAGGAAAGCAGAGUUAUGAAGUUAUCAGUUGCAAGUGACAAAAGAGGACAGGGCUAAUACCAAUUAUGUCAGACCAGGGCUUCUGUUAAUAGAAGUCUCUUCCAGGUAGUAAAAGGGCUGUCCUGUAAACAGUUCAGUAGCA